UACGUAGGGUGCAAGCGUUGUCCGGAAUUAUUGGGCGUAAAGAGCUCGUAGGCGGUUUGUCGCGUCUGCUGUGAAAAUCCAGGGCUUAACCCUGGACCUGCAGUGGGUACGGGCAGACUGGAGUGCGGUAGGGGAGAUCGGAAUUCCUGGUGUAGCGGUGAAAUGCGCAGAUAUCAGGAGGAACACCGGUGGCGAAGGCGGAUCUCUGGGCCGUAACUGACGCUGAGGAGCGAAAGCAUGGGGAGCGAAAGGG
rnacentral:rRNA from 1 species